CAGAAACUAGUUUAUUAAAAUAGUUAUUUUGGGGAUAACAGAUACAGACUCUACUCUGUGUUUCUGA
rnacentral:tRNA from 1 species